AUUCCGUGGUGAGGGCAAGCCUGGAUAUAUUCCUGGAGCCUUUCCCAAGCCUCAGGAAUGCACUCGAGUGAAGAUUGCUGGAAGUUUGAUAUCUUUCCCCUAAGAGC
rfam:Sorghum bicolor cultivar BTx623 chromosome 6, whole genome shotgun sequence.